CUUGGCUCAGGAUGAACGCUAGCUACAGGCUUAACACAUGCAAGUCGAGGGGCAGCAGGACGAUAGCUUGCUAUUGUCGCUGGCGACCGGCGCACGGGUGAGUAACGCGUAUCCAACCUUCCCCUUAGUAGAGGAUAGCCCGGCGAAAGUCGGAUUAAUACUCUAUGUUGUAUUUUUGAGGACAUCUGACGAAUACCAAAGAUUCAUCGCUAAGGGAUGGGGAUGCGUCUGAUUAGCUUGUUGGCGGGGUAACGGCCCACCAAGGCGACGAUCAGUAGGGGUUCUGAGAGGAAGGUCCCCCACAUUGGUACUGAGACACGGACCAAACUCCUACGGGAGGCAGCAGUGAGGAAUAUUGGUCAAUGGGCGAGAGCCUGAACCAGCCAAGUAGCGUGCAGGAAGACUGCCCUAUGGGUUGUAAACUGCUUUUAUCAGGGAAUAAAGUGCGGCACGUGUGCUGUUUUGUAUGUACCUGAUGAAUAAGGACCGGCUAAUUCCGUGCCAGCAGCUGC
rnacentral:rRNA from 1 species